UCGAUUGUCUCGGGCGAAAAUAAGUCCAUUUUGUAUCCUGAAUGAUAUAAACCGUCUUGGUUGAUUUGUUGGAAAGAAAUUGGUGCCCAUCAUUGAUCUUUCUCAGUAAUUUUAGAAAUGCUCUCACGACACUGCGGCUUCAUGUUUGGUGCACAUUGAGAAGAGCUUGGAGGAGGGAAAGCAGGAAAGGAGGACGAAAAUAAUGAAAAUGGCGGCGGCGGACGCCGGCUUGAAACGAGGGAUGUGGCAACUGCGAGAAGGAUGCGGUCUCUCUUGGAACAUGGCCUAACGGUGCGGAGCAGUAAUGCUCCUGGAAAGAUUUUUCUUAAUUUCUAGUGAGGGUGGCAAUGAGGGCAGGACUCUGCGCACACAUCAACCGUGAGCAAGCACCGCGCGGACUUGUGGAGUGCUCUCGCCGAUGGCAAACCUCUGCCCGUCUUUUUCAGCAUGAUCGCAAGGUCACCCGAUGCCCAAAGAAAACCCGAGCCGUGCCAAGGCCUGGAGUAACAUAGUAGCCUUCAAGAAGAUGCCUGCUAUUGUUCCCGAGACACGGAGAGACGUGCCAACCAGUCAGACUCAAUCGACAGCAACAAAACAAGUCAGCUGAUUGACACAGACGUCGUCUCGCGGGGACUCGACCCGACGAAGAGAGUCUGGUUCAUGGUGCGGGAGUUUCCUCGACGGUGCUGUGCCUGUGUUUGCUCGCGCGCGGUGUAUCAUUUCAGCGAUAAAGGAUGAUAUGAGUUUGAGCUGAGUGAUGAUAUGAGGAGUUUUAGUAUCCCGUUGGAAGCAUGGUACGAGGGCGAUAAAAGAAACUCUCAAAUCCGAACGAACCACCAACGCUAUCCCUUGCGUACGCAAACGCGAUAGCGUGCGGAAGGGAUAGCGUUGAUGGUUCUGCGCACGUCCACAACAGAAAGAGAGCUUCGCGCAGUGCGACGACCAACGCUAUCCCUUACGUAUGCAAAUGCGAUAGCGUACACGAUGGCCUAAAGCUCUCUAUCAGAGAGCUAUAGCAGACCGUUGAUAACGUGGCUACACUCUUAAAAAUGAA